rnacentral:misc_RNA from 1 species
GAUGAAGAACGUAGUAAAAUGCGAUAAGUAAUGUGAAUUGCAGAAUUCAGUGAAUCAUCGAAUCUUUGAACGCACAUUGCGCCCGUCAGUAUUCUGGCGGGCAUGCCUGUUCGAGCGUCAUUACGCCCCUCAAGUCCCCUGUGGACUUGGUGUUGGGGAUCGGCGAGGCUGGUUUUCCAGCACAGCCGUCCCUUAAAUUAAUUGGCGGUCUCGCCGUGGCCCUCCUCUGCGCAGUAGUAAAACACUCGCAACAGGAGCCCGGCGCGGUCCACUGCCGUAAAACCCCCCAACUUUUUAUAGUUGACCUCGAAUCAGGUAGGACUACCCGCUGAACUUAAGCAUAUCAAUAAGCGGAGGA